rnacentral:rRNA from 1 species
UACGUCUCAGUUCAGAUUGCAGGCUGCAACCCGCCUGCAUGAAGUCGGAAUUGCUAGUAAUCGCGGAUCAGCAUGCCGCGGUGAAUACGUUCCCGGGCCUUGUACACACCGCCCGUCACACCAUGGGAGCCGGUAAUACCCGAAGUCAGUAGUCCAACCUCGUGAGGACGCUGCCGAAGGUAGGAUUGGCGACUGGGGUGAAGUCGUAACAAGGUACC